UUGGAGUGUGAUUGAUUGUGUGUGGACAGGUGUCUUUUAUACAGGUAAUCAUUUCAAACAAGUGUAAUUAAUACAGGUGACUGCAGAAUAGGAGAGCUUCUUAAAAGAUAACUAACAGGUCUGUGAGAGCCAGAAUUCUUGCUGGUUGGUAGGUGAUCAUAUUC